CGUCUCGGCGCGGAAGGCAGGGAGCGCCCGCGCUGCAGCUCUGGGCGCGGGCCUCGCUCUGUGAACCGCGAAAGGCCGGGCUAGGGAGGCGGGAACUAUAUGUGAGAGACUCGCAGGAUUAAAGGUUCACAGCCCUGUAAGGAGGAAUUACUGCCUUUCAAAGUUGAGGAAACUGAGAUUCAAAGAGGUGAGAAAAAAAAAAAAAACCUAAAGCUCAGAAAGAUGAGGGAAUUUGCCCAAGGUCCCAGGGGGUGCUGGCUCUCUGACUGCAGCUGUAACUUCAACUUGCCAACGUGCACCAUUGCUCACAAGAGGACCAGAGGAGAGAGUAAUUGUACCCCAAAAUAUGCAAGGGGAAUCAACUGCAUACACUGAAUGACAAUUCCAUCUCUACAAAGAAAGGAGGAGCAUGAAACCCAAUGGCAAAAAAGUUAAUGAGGGAGUUCGGUCCUUGUCCCACUGGCUGGUAACCUAAAGCCCAGGAAGAACAAUCAUAGUGUACCGGAUGUGUGGUCGGGGAGGGACCGCAGUCAUCUCUGCGAAACCCAAAUGCCUUGACAAAGCUGAACUCAUUUUUUCUAACACAGUAUGAAAACCUACUAAAGACGAAACACUUUAAUAACAGAAAUCAUGUUUAAUAACAUUUAAAGGUUUUAUUUUUUUUAAAGGAAGAAAGAAAAAGAAAAAUGAAAGAAAAAAUCCUAUUGCUCUGCCUUUGUUUGUAAUAGUGACAUCCAACAUACCAGUCCUGGGACAGCAUACUGAGGCCUGCUGGCUGUGACACCCCAUCUGACUCAAUCAGGAGGAACAGCCCCCAUAAACACAGCAGCAGCACUGCUUCUGCUAAAUACCCUUAACCACCUUCGAAAAGAGAACAGGGUGGGAGAGAACUGUGAUGGUGCUUAAGACGAAAGACUGCCUCCCUGUUUCCUUCUCCCUUCCCUCGUAAACUGAACGAACUGUUGUUAUAAGACAACAUACUGCUCAGUUCACGUAACUUAAAAAUUUACAGCAGGCUGUAUGCCUGGAGGCACAUUAUGGGGCCACCUGUAGGCAUGUAAUUCCACUGAAAAUAAUAAAUAAUUGUGGAGAAUUCCUCCGAGGCUGGAGGAGAGAGUGUGGAGAGAGUGUGGAGGAGAGAGAGUGGGUAAGAAUUGUGUUGCUGGUUCGCUCCAACAUGGAUUCUUGUCGUGGAGGACUGGAGAACUGUACUCUCUCCAACAAAGAUGAGUAAUCCUCCCCACAAAAGAGUCCGCUACACACAGCACCAGACGCCUGGGUGCCAGUUCUACGCAGCCAUUUCUUGGGCACUUUUGAGAAUGCACCUGCAGAAACUGCCACGUGGCAAUUGCUUCAUACAGCACGUUGAUCCAUUUGAGACUUUCUUUUUUUUACAGUAUAGAAAGCUAUUUUGUUUGUCUCUCUACAUCCUGUUUAUCUCUUUGAAGCCUCCUCAUAUUCUGGCAAAGACAGAAAGUGACUGUAAGACUACCCUUGAUAUAAUUCCAAACAUUUAUUUGGGAGGAAUUAAUGUGUCUUUUAACAGUGCUCAGCAACCUUGACCUUUUUCGACUGGAAGGUAAAAUGAAUAGACUGUAGAGCUGCUUUAAAGAGAAAGUAAAAGUGUUUGUCGUCAUGCUUUUGUCACAAGGUAGGUGGAUUUAGUACUUAUCCCGUAACU